ACUCCUACGGGAGGCUGCAGUGGGGAAUAUUGGACAAUGGGCGAAAGCCUGAUCCAGCAACGCCGCGUGAGGGAUGACGGCCUUCGGGUUGUAAACCUCUUUCAGCGGGGACGAAGCGAAAGUGACGGUACCCGCAGAAGAAGCACCGGCCAACUACGUGCCAGCAGCCGCGGUAAUACGUAGGGUGCAAGCGUUGUCCGGAAUUAUUGGGCGUAAAGGGCUCGUAGGCGGUUUGUCACGUCGGGAGUGAAGACUCAGGGCUCAACCCUGAGCGUGCUUUCGAUACGGGCAGACUAGAGGUAUUCAGGGGAGAACGGAAUUCCUGGUGUAGCGGUGGAAUGCGCAGAUAUCAGGAGGAACACCGGUGGCGAAGGCGGUUCUCUGGGAAUUACCUGACGCUGAGGAGCGAAAGCAUGGGGAGCGAACAGGAUUAGAUACCCUGGUAGUCCAUGCCGUAAACGUUGGGCGCUAGGUGUGGGACCCUUCCACGGGUUCCGUGCCGCAGCUAACGCAUUAAGCGCCCCGCCUGGGGAGUACA
rnacentral:rRNA from 1 species